rnacentral:rRNA from 1 species
UACGUAGGGUGCAAGCGUUGUCCGGAAUUACUGGGCGUAAAGCGUGCGCAGGCGGUGAUGUAAGGCAGGUGUGAAAUCCCCGGGCUUAACCUGGGAACUGCAUUUGUGACUGCAUCGCUGGAGUGCGGCAGAGGGGGAUGGAAUUCCGCGUGUAGCAGUGAAAUGCGUAGAUAUGCGGAGGAACACCGAUGGCGAAGGCAAUCCCCUGGGCCUGCACUGACGCUCAUGCACGAAAGCGUGGGGAGCAAACAGG